AAUGUUCUUUUUGUAGUGCUGCUCCAGCCAAGCUCCAGCAGUGCAUGUUGUACGCAAACGCGUUUAAUUCAAUAUUAUUAUCAAGUCGCCGGCCGGGUAGAUUUUUCAACGAAGAACUGCCAAAAUUUGGGCCUGCAAGCCUUGUUUUUGCAAUCUGGGACCGCUUCCUGUUUUCUCCCAGACUAAAAGAUGGUUAAAAACCACAAAGAGCUUGUCAAGGCCUGCGGGGAGUUACAAUUUGGAUAAUUUGAAAGUAAAGAUAGAUGAUGAAUUAAAAAGCUCCUUUCGAAAUAUGAGGAGAUAUUAAAAGAUGAAGCUCUGCAGUGGGCCAGAGAAAUAAAGGAGAAGCUGCAAGAAAAGCAGACAAGCCCUAUGCCACCAAGGACACCAACACUCAAGAGACCAACUCGGAAGAGGAAAAUUCCCACCGCUUCCGAAGUUGAGGAGAAGGAAAAUUCCAUUGCUGUGGGGCGGCAAGCUCGAGCUGCCUCGCAAGCUGCAGCUUCCAAGUUCCACAAGCAGCUGUAUGUGCCUGUAAAGCUGAGACGACCCAGCGAAAAGCCUGCCGAGGUGCCUCCAGCAAAGGAACGUAAAAGGGUCAGGAUUGCCAGUUCUUCAGCAGAAAGUGAUGAUGACGCUGUGUCAGUCGCCUCUACCACCAAAAGCACCAAAUUGAAACGUGCAGCUCGGAAAAACAAAAAAGAAGUCAGUGACGAUGAAUCAAGCGAAGAAGCUGAAAAACCACAGAAACUUGAAAAGCCAAAGAUGAAUACCAGGGGCCGCGCAAAAUUGGUAGCUCAGGAAAAGAAACUGAUGCCUGCCAAGAAAAUGAAGGUGGUUAAACCGGCUGAUUCAAGUGAUUCUGAGUUUGAAAAGCCGCCUGCAAAAGCCACUAGUAGCUCUGAGGCUUCAAACGAUGAACCAAAUUCUGAGCAUGUUGAGACUUCAAAAGACGAGCAACAUUCUGAGCAUGUUGAGUCUUCGAAUGAGGAAAAGAAUUCUGAGCAUGCUGAAACUACAAGGGAAGAAACGCAUUCUGAGCAAUCGCAGGAAGAACCUACCCCUCCAAACCAGAAUAUCAAGAAGAAUGACGCGCUGCUCCUAAGUCGGGUGGUUGCCAUCAAGGUUGAAAAAUUAUCAGAAACUUUCAUUAAGCGUCAGAUAGGAGAAGACGUUUCUACUGAAGAAGUGACUACAGAAGAGUCCGAGCCACCUGUGUGAGCUCUCCCGAACCUCCAGCAACUGAGACUCAAAGGAAGUCGCCCAGGACUAACAAAGUCGAGACAAAACUACCAAACAAAGCGUCUGAACUCCGUGCUUUAACACCACACAUUGCUGGAAAAGUGAAGGAGAUGGUGAUGGCAGUUGAGCAGUCGCUGAAGAAGGGUUAUCCGAAAGUCAACAUCCAGAAUCACCCUGAGCAUGCGGCCACCACUCCUCACUCACCUUCAAAGUGGUUGAAGGCCCCGGAGCUGAUGGACGCCAUCAGCUCCCAGGACAUUUCCCCAGACCCAUUCAGUGAGAGCGAGCACGCUUACUCGCCGACUGUUUUGCGGAAGAAACCCAUUCCCACCUGCAGCAAACCUACAACAUCCCAACAGCAGGGCUUGAGCACCAUCCAAAGGAGUACAGUGACGAGGCCUCAUAACGCCACUAGUACUCUUGGCUGGAGCAAAGUCGUAAUAAGCAAGUUCACUCUUGACACUGCCAAGGAGCAGGCCCAGUUGGCUGCGUUGAAGUUGAGAAGAAAAAGGAACUCGAGCGUCAGCUGAGGGAUGAGAAAAUAAACGAGGCUUAGAAGAAGAAAGAGGAAAUAUUGAAACUG